GCCACUUACAUAAUAGAACC
rnacentral:snRNA from 1 species